rnacentral:rRNA from 1 species
UACGUAGGGACCAAGCGUUGUUCGGAUUUACUGGGCGUAAAGGGCGCGUAGGCGGCGUGACAAGUCACUUGUGAAAUCUCUGGGCUUAACCCAGAACGGCCAAGUGAAACUGUUGUGCUAGAGUGCAGAAGGGGCAAUCGGAAUUCUCGGUGUAGCGGUGAAAUGCGUAGAUAUCGAGAGGAACACCAGAGGUGAAGACGGGUUGCUGGGCUGACACUGACGCUGGGGCGCGAAAGCCAGGGGAGCAAACGGG